GGCUCCGUAGCAUGUAGGUUAAAGCGCCCAUCUAGCGAAUGGGAGUCGUGGAUUCGAUCCCCACUGGAGCAC
rfam:Aedes aegypti strain Liverpool supercont1.522 genomic scaffold, whole genome shotgun sequence.